CCUACGGGGGGCAGCAGUGGGGAAUAUUGGACAAUGGGGGGAACCCUGAUCCAGCCAUGCCGCGUGUGUGAAGAAGGCCCUCGGGUUGUAAAGCACUUUCAGUGAGGAAGAACGCCUGGUGGUUAAUACCCAUCAGGAAAGACAUCACUCACAGAAGAAGCACCGGCUAACUCCGUGCCAGCAGCCGCGGUAAUACGGAGGGUGCGAGCGUUAAUCGGAAUUACUGGGCGUAAAGCGCGCGUAGGUGGCUUGAUAAGCCGGUUGUGAAAGCCCCGGGCUCAACCUGGGAACGGCAUCCGGAACUGUCAAGCUAGAGUGCAGGAGAGGAAGGUAGAAUUCCCGGUGUAGCGGUGAAAUGCGUAGAGAUCGGGAGGAAUACCAGUGGCGAAGGCGGCCUUCUGGACUGACACUGACACCGAGGUGCGAAAGCGUGGGUAGCAAACAGGAUUAGAUACCCCGGUAGUC
rnacentral:rRNA from 1 species